GAUGAACGCUGGCGGCGUGCCUAAUACAUGCAAGUCGAGCGAACGGACGAGAAGCUUGCUUCUCUGAUGUUAGCGGCGGACGGGUGAGUAACACGUGGAUAACCUACCUAUAAGACUGGGAUAACUUCGGGAAACCGGAGCUAAUACCGGAUAAUAUUUUGAACCGCAUGGUUCAAAAGUGAAAGACGGUCUUGCUGUCACUUAUAGAUGGAUCCGCGCUGCAUUAGCUAGUUGGUAAGGUAACGGCUUACCAAGGCAACGAUGCAUAGCCGACCUGAGAGGGUGAUCGGCCACACUGGAACUGAGACACGGUCCAGACUCCUACGGGAGGCAGCAGUAGGGAAUCUUCCUCAAUGGGCGAAAGCCUGACCGACCAACGCCGCGUGAGUGAUGAAUGUCUUCGGAUCGUAAAACUCUGUUAUUAGGGAAGAACAUAUGUGUAAGUAACUGUGCCCAUCUUGACUGUACCUAAUCAGAAAGCCACGGCUAACUACGUGCCAGCAGCCGCGGUAAUACGUAAGUGGCAAGCGUUAUCCUGAAUUAUUGGGCGUAAAGCGCGCGUAGCGGUUUUUUAGUCUGAUGUGAAAGCCCACGGCUCAACCGUGGAGGGUCAUUGGAAACUGGAAAACUUGAGUGCAGAAGAGGAAAGUGGAAUUCCAUGUGUAGCGGUGAAAUGCGCAGAGAUAUGGAGGAACACCAGUGGCGAAGGCGACUUUCUGGUCUGUAACUGACGCUGAUGUGCGAAAGCGUGGGGAUCAAACAGGAUUAGAUACCCUGGUAGUCCACGCCGUAAACGAUGAGUGCUAAGUGUUAGGGGGUUUCCGCCCCUUAGUGCUGCAGCUAACGCAUUAAGCACUCCGCCUGGGGAGUACGACCGCAAGGUUGAAACUCAAAGGAAUUGACGGGGACCCGCACAAGCGGUGGAGCAUGUGGUUUAAUUCGAAGCAACGCGAAGAACCUUACCAAAUCUUGACAUCCUUUGACAACUCUAGAGAUAGAGCCUUCCCCUUCGGGGGACAAAGUGACAGGUGGUGCAUGGUUGUCGUCAGCUCGUGUCGUGAGAUGUUGGGUUAAGUCCCGCAACGAGCGCAACCCUUAAGCUUAGUUGCCAUCAUUAAGUUGGGCACUCUAAGUUGACUGCCGGUGACAAACCGGAGGAAGGUGGGGAUGACGUCAAAUCAUCAUGCCCCUUAUGAUUUGGGCUACACACGUGCUACAAUGGACAAUACAAAGGGCAGCGAAACCGCGAGGUCAAGCAAAUCCCAUAAAGUUGUUCUCAGUUCGGAUUGUAGUCUGCAACUCGACUACAUGAAGCUGGAAUCGCUAGUAAUCGUAGAUCAGCAUGCUACGGUGAAUACGUUCCCGGGUCU
rnacentral:rRNA from 1 species